AAAAAAAACCAAUCGCUCAAUCCAGAUCCCAUCGAUUCCCGAUUCGUUCCCCUCCAUCCGCUCACGACCUAGACUGCUGCUGGCUGCUGCGCCACCGCGAGAGGGGAGGGCGGCGUCUGCAUCAACUCGCUGCUGCAUCGUCAGGGGAGGGGCUGGGUACGUGCACUGCGGCGGCGUGGGGCGGUUAUGCUGUGCUGGUGCUGGAGGCGGUCAGGCCAGCCGGCCAGCGGCGGGGCGGUAGUUGGGGGCUGUGCUUGAGUGAGCGUGAUGGAUUCCGAUGAAGAGGUGGAUUGGAUAGGGAUUGCUGCCGCUGUCGAACUCGAAGAAGCUGAAGCUGAGGCUGCUGCUGCCGAAGAAGCUGCGGCUGUGGCAGGGGAAGCGGCUUUGGCGCACAGAUCAACCAACCAGAAGCGGCCACAUGACUCCGACGACCGACAGAGCGCUAUCUGUUGACUGAUCAACUCAACAUAUAUAUUGAUGUGAUGAAAAGAAGUACUGGAUUCUUGGCUUGCGAUAGUUUGAGUUCUCUUGCUCUCAAGUUGGUUCAGAGUAGACAACAUCUGGUAUUUCCAUUGGUUUAUCGGCUCAUCAGACUUGCAUUGACAUUACCGGUGGCAACUGCAUCAGUUGAAAGGGUUUUCUCAGCCAUGAAUAUUAUAAAGACUGAUCUUCGAAACAAGAUGGGUGAUGAUUGGCUUAAUGAUUUGAUGGUUUGCUUUGUUGAGCGCGAGAUAUUUGCUGAAAUUAGUGAUAAAGAGAUUAUGGUUCAUUUUCAUGCCUUGAAGAACCGUCGAGGUCAUCUACCUCCAGAACCUCGUGUUCAUUAUGCAAUUAUGUCUUAAAGGUCUCAUUUGGAAGUUGGAAUUAUGGGAUCAUAUUGUGGCAUAAGUGAGCAUUUCAAGCGGGCAAGAGUCCAUGUGAGCAGUCAAGAAGCCUCGGCGACUUUUAACAGUGUACUAGUUUUAAAUAGUAUUUUCAUCCUUUUGUUGUUGAAUGCUAUAAGUUCUGGUUGAAUAUAGCUGCAUUUGUAGCGAAAAAAAAUUAAACAUUAAGUGUUCGCCCCGGCUAACUUCAAUUCCUGGGCCCGCCACUGUACGCAUGCGUGUUUCAUUAUUGCUUGUACGGUUUGGGAUUGAGAUUACUUUGUAAGCUGGACUUGCUUGAGUUAAGUUCUAUGUAAUAUUGCCCGAAAA